GCGGCGCUGGCUGGAGGCGCUGCGUUGCGUUUCUCUGCGCUGGCGCCGCCGCUGCUGUGGAGGCUCUGGGUGCAGUUGAAGUCUCUCUCUGCGCGCUCGGAAAUCCCUUUAAAGUUUCUUUUUAAUAAACUGCAAAGGAAUAUUACUCCUAAAUUAGCAGGAGACUGUGAGGACUGGCCUUCUCAUAGAUUUACUGUUGCCUUUUCACUCUGUUGAUAGUGUCCUUUGAUGCACAAAAGUUUGUAGUUUUGAUGCUCCAAGUGGAUGAUCUGAGAAUAGGACCCAGAAAGUCAGUGCCAAACCUCUCUUCUCCAGAAAAUUAACUCUGUGCACCUCUAGCCCACUAGCACCUUCCCAGCCAGGAUUUAUCUCUACUAGACUUUGAAGAAUUACGCCGUGCAGGUAAGUUUGCUUUUUUGUUGAACAUUUAUAAUUUUCUGAUUUGUUUAUAAAAAUUCAUCUCCUUGAAAUGAGGGGCCAUUUCUUCAUAUUUCUUUUCUAUCUACCUGUGUACGUUCUAGUGCAUACUUUAGCACUGAAUAAAAGCUUCAGAUUAAUUUAGAAGAAAAAAGGUUGGAUUCCCUCUGAGUGAUGGAAAGUACAAGAUUUGCUGUCAAGAGACUUAGGUUUGACGUCCGAAUUCCCUUUUACCUUUGGGAAGUUGGGCAAAUUGCCUACAUUUUCGGAGCUUCACUUUCCCAUCUGUAAAAUGUAUAGCACCUGUCCCACCUGGGUUAUCAAGAAAACAGCCAUGGGAGCACUUUGUGAAUUGUAGAGGUUGGGCCAAAAUGAGUUGAUAGUGUGUGUAUGUGUGUUUAUUGGGUGUGGAGAAGGCAUGAUUUUCUGGCAGCCGGGAGGCAGAGUAUGCCCUUGACCACGUUCUCGCUCCUAACGUGGUCCUUGUGAGGAACACACAGGCAAAGCAGACUGACAGGCAGGUAGCAAGCAGGAGACGGCAUGAUUCCCCAGGCUCCGAGUGUGGGUGUAGCAUGUCUCAGACACCCUCUCCUCCAUGACUGGCAAAGUCACAGUGGUUUCUGCCUCGGCCUCCAGCCCGCUAAGUCCACGUGGAGGCGCGGAAUGCAUCGAUCCCUCUGGGCAGAAGACUCUUCAAGUCUAGAAAAGAGGCUCUUCCUAGCUCUCUGUGGCAUUAGAUCCCUUUGUUGUAAAUUUCUAAACCUCCUCCUGUCAGAUAAAAUGAAAUGCUAAUGUGAAAAAUCCGCUCUGCCCCUGGCUUUCCCUCUUCCUAAACUCUGCCCUGCAUUUUAUCUUGAAAACUUGCUUUUCCCUUCUGUACUCCAGAUCUAAUUAAGUGGCUGAUUCUUUGAGGGUCUGACAUUGGCCACUGUGGCCAGAGCUGAGCAGCAUUAAUGAUCCCUGGGAAACAGGGGACACUUAUGAGAAGAUUGUCCCUGCUGGGUGUCAUGCAGGCUAAUGAUCUUAGUGAGUUCCUCUGAGUAGGCCACAUACAGUGUCUUAGUAGUUCCUAAAGUAAUUUGACUCCUACUCCUCAUUAUACUUUGCUUGGUGAUUUUAAUUCCAUUAAGUUGCUACAGGCUCCUAAUGAUCCUUAAAAAAAGAGAGAGAGAGAGUCACAGGGGGACUAAAAUGUGUCACACUGAUUUGACAGUCCCUUGCCUCUUUAUGUAAAUGUCCUAGCCAUUCAUCUUUAGGGAAAAUAGUCUCAGAGGCAGCAAGAUCAUUAGGAAAGAAAACUAGGAUGGAAACCUUACGGGCUGAAUGAAUAAGAAGAAAUAUUCUUAGUGUUCUGGAAAGACCUCCUAAAUCUAGCUGAGGAAACUGAGAGACAAAGAAGCUAACUGAUCUGACAAAAGAAACCUCUCAUUAAAAGAUAAGCUAGGAAGUGGGGUUUCUGCCCAUCCUCACUCCUUAUACCAUCUGGUCUCAAUUUUCCUGACAUUUGAGUAGUAAGGAUUUUACAUCCUAUUUUCCUAGCAUGGGUGACAAGGGGACUAAGCAGUUUAUGUGUUCCUUACAGCUACUUGGUAGAGCAGGAAUUAUUAUUCUCAUUUUGUAGAUGAGGAAAGUGAGCCACAAAGACAUGAUUUACUCAGGGUACACAGCUAGACAGUGACAGACUAGGGACUAGACCCCAUGCCUGAACUGUGUUCUUAGUUUUCUUAACUGUGA